GACGAACGCUGGCGGCGUGCUUAACACAUGCAAGUCGAACGGAAAGGCCCUGCUUUUGUGGGCUGCUCGAGUGGCGAACGGGUGAGUAACACGUGAGUAACCUGCCCUUGACUUUGGGAUAACUUCAGGAAACUGGGGCUAAUACCGGAUAGGAGCUCCCGCUGCAUGGUGGGCGUUGGAAAGUUUCGGCGGUUGGGGAUGGACUCGCGGGUUAUGGGCUUGUUGGUUGGGUAGUGGCUUACCAAGGCUUUGACGGGUAGCCGGCCUGAGAGGGUGACCGGCCACACUAGGACUGAGAUACGGCACAGACUAGAAUGGGAGGCAGGAGUGGAGAGUAGUGUACAAUGGGCGGGAGCCUGAUGCGACAACGCCGCGUGCGGGAUGACGGCCUGCGGGUUGUAAAGCGCUGUCGCCUGUGACGGAGCGUGAGUGACGGUAAUGGGUAAAGAAGCACCGGCUAACUACGUG
rnacentral:rRNA from 1 species